GUGUCCCGACGGGGGUAGUUUUUUUUUUCUUUGUUCGAUCACUGAAGUUAAGCAAUGUCGGGCCUGGUCAGUACUUGGGAGGGUGACCACCUGGGAAUACCGGGUGCUGUAGGCU